GAAGAUUAGGGCUGUUCAGUUUGGAAAAGAGAUGACUAAAGAGGAAUAUGAUAGAGGUCUAUGAAAUCAUGAAUGGUGUGGAAAAAGUGAAUACAGAAGUGUUAUUUACUCUUUCAAGCAAUACAAAAACCAGGCGUCACCCAAUAGAAAUUAAUAGGCAACAUGUUUAAUACAAACAAAAAUAAGUACUUUUUCACACAAUGCACUGUGGAACUCUGCCAUGGGAUUCAUUGCUGUAGAAUCUUGAUGAU